rnacentral:rRNA from 1 species
UACGUAGGGUGCGAGCGUUAAUCGGAAUUACUGGGCGUAAAGGGUGCGUAGGCGGUUUGCUAAGACAGGUGUGAAAUCCCCGGGCUUAACCUGGGAAUUGCGCUUGUUACUGGCAGGCUAGAGUGUGUCAGAGGGAGGUAGAAUUCCACGUGUAGCAGUGAAAUGCGUAGAGAUGUGGAGGAAUACCGAUGGCGAAGGCAGCCUCCUGGGAUAACACUGACGUGAGGCACGAAAGCGUGGGGAGCAAACAGG